CACACGCUCAAAUAGAUCCUCCAUCGACGAUACGUCGUAGACCAUAGAUUCUCAACACGUGGCUCGCCAGUUGAUUUUAGGCGAACGAUUAAAUGUCACAAUUAACAGAUUACACGAUAGAAAUUCGAUAAGAGAAUAAUUAGCGAAGAAUUAUUUACGAAAUUGGAUCUGGAAACCAUAAAAGUUUCAGAGGCCUAUGAUAUUGAACAGACUAUAAUUUCGAGGAUUUUCUGGCGAGUCAGCACGACUGAGAUUCACGCUUAGGGCAAUAAAUUUGAUCCAGUUCGGUGACGACCUAAUGUAUCGGAUGCGUCGUCGUGUCACGGCGCCCGCAUAAGCAAGCGUGGCACGCGUCACGACGCCUCGCCGUCGAUAAACAAGGCGCUGGAAACCAAAGUGGUGUCCAAGCGUCGUCUAUCGGAGCUUCGAUCACGCAUAUCGAUAGAUCCCAGCUCGUAUGGAGGACUGACAAUAAGAAUCGCGACUUAGAAGGCGACCGUUGUCACUGCAGGCCUACUUCAUGGCGGAAGUCUCUUGACCAAUCAAUCCGUCGAUUCUUGGUCAACAGGUCACUCGGAUCAAAUGGAAGAGAAAAUUAAUGUGGCUCGCCGCCGUGGAAUGCUUCUACAUUUCAUUAUUCUCCCAUCAAAUCACCUCAUCAUCGACAAGAAUAGAACAAGCUCUUCUAAAAGUAUA
rnacentral:misc_RNA from 1 species